AGAGUUUGAUCCUGGCUCAGAACGAACGCUGGCGGCAUGCCUAACACAUGCAAGUCGAACGAGGCCCUUCGGGGUUUAGUGGCGCACGGGUGCGUAACACGUGGGAACAUACCCUUCGGUUCGGAACAACGUUUGGAAACGAACGCUAAUACCGGAUACGGCUCGAGGGCGAAAGAUUCAUCGCCGAAGGAUUGGCCCGCGUUCGAUUAGCUAGAUGGCGGGGUAACGGCCCACCAUGGCGACGAUCGAUAGCUGGUCUGAGAGGAUGGCCAGCCACAUUGGGACUGAGACACGGCCCAAACUCCUACGGGAGGCAGCAGUGGGGAAUAUUGGACAAUGGGCGCAAGCCUGAUCCAGCCAUGCCGCGUGAGUGAUGACGGCCUUAGGGUUGUAAAGCUCUUUCGCACGCGACGAUAAUGACGGUAGCGUGAGAAGAAGCCCCGGCUAACUUCGUGCCAGCAGCCGCGGUAAU
rnacentral:rRNA from 1 species